rnacentral:rRNA from 1 species
UGGGGAAUCUUCCGCAAUGGACGAAAGUCUGACGGAGCAACGCCGCGUGAGUGAAGACGGCCUUCGGGUUGUAAAGCUCUGUGAUCCGGGACGAAAGAGCCUGAGGUAAAUAGCCUAAGGAAGUGACGGUACCGGAAAAGCAGGCCACGGCUAACUACGUGCCAGCAGCCGCGGUAAUACGUAGGUGGCAAGCGUUGUCCGGAAUUAUUGGGCGUAAAGCGCGCGCAGGCGGCUUACUAAGUCCAUCUUAAAAGUGCGGGGCUUAACCCCGUGAUGGGAUGGAAACUGGAAAGCUGGAGUAUCGGAGAGGAAAGUGGAAUUCCUAGUGUAGCGGUGAAAUGCGUAGAGAUUAGGAAGAACACCGGUGGCGAAGGCGACUUUCUGGACGAAAACUGACGCUGAGGCGCGAAAGCGUGGGGAGCAAACAGG